AAAGGUAAUUUUGAAUAAGCAAAGGCAAUAAACAAUUGCCGCGUAAUUAAUCUUCAUGACUAUUCCGUUAUUACCCUCCAAGCUCUCAAAACCAUUCAUUUCCCGUCUCUUUAUAUAACCCAGUCAAACCCGAUUAAAUAAACGAACAUACUCUUCAAUUUUCUUUCUCUCUCACUUCUCCCAUUUUCCCAGAAUUAUUUUCCCGGAAAAUUCCCAAAAAUUUUCUAGGCAGCCAAAGGCUCCCACCAUGACCAAAUCCGCCUUCCUCGCUGCCUCCGUCGCCGCCGCCUCCGCCACUGCAGUUUCCCUCUCUUCCUCCACGAAGCUCUCUCUUCAGGACGGCGGGGCGCGGAGAGACCACGGCCAGCCAUCGACUGCGGCGAGUGCGGCGUCGUUGGAGAAGUUCGCGCCGCGGUUCGACGGGUUGCGGUUCAUCGAAACGCUUAUUACUGCGCACAGAUGAACGUGCGUUGCGGAAACGCGCUUUUGGGGUUUUCCCUUCAGCCUUUUUGAUCUUGUGCUGUCUAGAAAACUAAGAAAACAAAACUCAUGGGAAAUGUUUGGAUCUCACUUUUUAAAUUUGUUUUGUUAUUUAGAAAAUGGGAGAGAGAUUGUAAUACUACGGAAUUGUUACUGUUAUUUGAUACGAUGCUUUCUAGUGAGUUUUUUCGACCCUUGUGUGAGUCGUGACUAUUAAUUUCUAUGUAAUUUAUGAGGGAAAUAUUAUAAAAAAUGAUUAAUUAAUUUAUUAA